rnacentral:piRNA from 1 species
UGGUAGUUCCCAGUGACUGAAUCUUCGCCC